AAAUUUGAAUUUUACCAUUAACACAGUAUUGGUUAUGAAGUUUUGAGGCUUCUAGCUCUUGUUUUACUAAUGGUCAAUUUCCUCACUUUCUUGUGCUAGUUGACCUGGCAAGCGUGUAGGAGAUCAAAUAUGGGUCAUACUUAAUAAUUUGUUUCUAAUUAUUGCAGUUGUAUAAAAAUGUUAAUUCUUAGUUACCAGCAGUUUCUGUCUGCAAAAUAAUUCUUUUUUUGGGAGAGUAAUUAUGUUAAUAGGUCAGAAAAAUCAAAUAGAACCAUAAAAACUUCAUACAAUUCUCUCUCUUUCAAUUUUUUUUUAUUUUGGAACUGAAUUACAUGGGCUUUGGAUUACUUUGCUAAUUUAUUUUUCUGCUGUAUAACUGGCCAUUCUUAAUUUAUUUGCAUCAGUAAAAAUAAUGUAGGCACUUCAGGAAUUGGUAUUCACAUUAAAAUACAUAAGAGAAUCCCAUUAGUUCUUUUUAUAAAUAAAGGCAUUUGCUUUUAGGAUAUUAGAUGGUUAAUUUCUCCCAGAGAGAUUCCACAAGUUCUUUCCCACUCUUUAUUGAUUACCCAUAACAUAGUAAUCUUAGCAUUAGUAUAAAGCACUAUGAUUUGUGCUGGGUCUAUGCCUGAUAGUUCAUAAAGUCUUAUUUUAUAAUUGAGUCAGAAACAUUUUCUUUGUCUUUAAUUUUUUACUUUGUAUGUUAUGAAAAUCCAUUCUAAAAUACUAUCUUUCCUUUGCAUAAUGAGCCCAGUAGGAGAAUUAGUCGAAGGCAACAGAGAGUCCUGUUUGGGUUCUCUGUGAUCCACGUGUGCAUCUUGAUAUCUCUAUUAAGUUUAACUCUAUUAAAACCCCCACCCCCAUAUAGUUUCCCGAUGGCAAGACAUUGCCUUGGAUAUCUCUCUUGGACCUAAGUUCAUUGGUCCAAUGGUAACCCUUGCCACAUCAUCUGCACCCUCCUGGAAGUCUGCACUUUCUGAAUUAUGUUUUGGAAGACAAUUGCCCUUAGAGAUGCCUUGGCCACAAUUUUGUUUCAAAUGUCCCUAUUCCCCACAAUUAAAGAACCAGGCCCUCUGUUAUGGGAGACCUAUAGCUGUAGCUUGACCUGUUAUACUAGCUGUGUAUAAGUUAGAACCAAUAUCAUUCAUGUUCUUUAUCUGUUCAUCUAUGGGCUUAGCCUGUUCCUUCACUGGCCUUAUGACUUUUUACACUCCACAUUUUCAGUUUUGAUUGCUAGGGUCUCUAUCAACACUUGUUUUGUAUUGGAGUAUGGUAUAAUCUUAUUUACUGCUGAGAUUAAUCUUUGUAAAAAAAACAAUGAUGGCUUCUUCAAAGCCUCGGAAUUUCUGAAAAUGAUGUUUGAUUUCUUUUCAGGCUUGUAAACUUUGCCCCAUGCUCUUAAAGAAACAUUGUUCUAUGAUUGCUUCUUCAAUUGAACCUGUUCUUGCAUAUCAGCAUAAUAACUUUUACCUAUCAACCGGUUCCUCCCCAAAUUAAUUUCUCUUGCUCUAUUGUGCUGUUCCAAAUUCCUGACUACUCUUCACUAUGAAAACCAUUGCCAUUUAAGGACCAGCCUCUAGUACAACUGUGACCAAUGCCCUCCAUUCUUAGGGAAUACACCUAUUCUGAAUAUUCCAAUGUAGCGUUUGUUUCACUUAUGCUGGGUGCAUCAAAUAAAAUAUCAUUGCCUCCUUAAACUGCUUUAGGCCUUCCAUUUCUAUAGAAUGCAACCUCUCUCAUGAUAACCUUGUGGAUUAUCCUCAUUAGCAGGCAUAUGCUUUGUAAGUACUGGGAACGCUCUUGGUGAUUUUGACCAAGGACUGCUGUGGGUUUAUCCCUAUUUCUUGAAGAAAAAAAAGCUUUUAUUUGACCAUUCUUUUUCAUUUCUCUGAUACAACUGCCCAUUGACACAUUUCCUCCCUCUUUUUCUAUGUGGGGAAACUCCCUUCUUUUGAAUUAGUCACUGGAAAUGAACAUAUUUGUUCUCCUUUUUCUUGAUGCUCUCUUAUUACCAAGUUGCUCUGUUUCCGCCAGUAAUGUUUCCAGUUGGCUAACCAGUGUUUUAACAUUCUUAUAAACUAAUUAAGUCAAAACAAGGAAAAACGGGGGAAAAUGGCUAAAAACAAUGGAGGGUAUAUUCCAACAACAGCAUCUGUAAAUACACUGUCAGCUUUUUCAAACAAAUUACCCAUCCCUUCUUUUCUGUUCCUUGAUCGUACUUGAAAUAAAGCUUCCCAUCCUGCCUAGCCACAAUGGUGGCCAAAUUUCUCUUAAUGUAAGGUUGGUUUGUUUUGUUUCUGAUUUGUUUUUCUUCCUUCAAACAGAUUCCACAUUGGGUGCUCAAUUUUCCUUUGGCUUAAAAUUUUUCCCUUUUUGUUUUAUAGUUCUUUGUCUCUAUAAACUUAUAUAGCUACUUCAUUUGUGGUUUUUUCAUGGGUUCUUCUUUUGUUUGUUCCCUAACACUAUUGUCUCUGCCUCUGCCCAGCUUCUCCUGAGUAAACUGUGACCAACUGUCUUCUCACUGCUAGCUCAUUCUAAUUGUUUCUUAGUUUCACUCUCCAAAAUGUCUUCUUUACUCUUUUCAAGCCCUGCCUAAGGUCUUCUUUCUUCUUUGCUGACACACUCUUCUGUCUCCUGAACCCUACUUCUCCUCCUACUCUCUCCCACUUCCUUCUCACUUCUCCCCUCCCUCUCAGCUUCUGUUGGCUUUCUACCCAAUUCUGUUCCCAGAAGUCCAAGAGCCAACUGUCACUGAAGAGCAUAGGGUCAUUUAAAGGGCCAGGCACAUAAAGUAUUUCUUACUGCAGGAAUUUGUUCCUAUGUGGCUCUGCUUAGCUAUGCAGAGGUUGUAACUUACCUGUAGAUCAGUGAGACUCUGCAUGGAAAAUGUUCAUGGAUGAAAAAAUAAGUACAGGCUAAGGGAGCAGGUCCUGGCUGAGUCUAUGAGCCUUGUGCACGGAAUAGGUCCCCACAUCUCCUCAUUCAUUCAUCAGGAAAGGUCUAAAAUCCCCUAGCAUGAGGAUGUAGCAGAGCCUAGGAUGAGCGCUCCCUCAGACAGAGCUGCUGCAGCAGGAGCACUGAGUGUUCACAGCAAAUCAAUCAACACUUGCUGAGUUAUUUGAAAAACCAAUUUGAGGACCCCACAAAUUAUUCAUUCAUCUUACAGACCUGAAUCCAAGUGAAGAGAACAAUGGAAGCUUUGGUGCCAGGAGGCAUCUAGGAGAAGCUGACACUAGCAGGUGACCUUUCUGAGAUGUUUCCACCAAGGGCUGAAAAGUUAUGUUGGAUUCCCAUCUUCAGGCAAGGCUGAGGCGAUUACAUCUGGGCAAAGAUUCUUGCUAUUAAUUUGCUUUCCAGUAAUUAUUAAAUAUACAUAAC
rnacentral:sRNA from 1 species